ACCAUCACUCUUGUGCCACAUGCGGUCACAGGGAACUGGUAUACAGCAAAGGAAGGUGUGGACCCCACAGGACUGCAAGGUGGGUCACUUCCUCCCAGUAGACUGACUGAAUCCAGACUCAGUCGAGGCAGUGUAACAUCUCUAGCCACCACUACCACAAACUGACCAUCUCUUAUACACUGGACAGUCACUGGAACAAAAGGUACAAGAGCAGGUUAAUGUUGAGGAUCAGUUUAACUAAGAGCAGAACACUGACUCACUCUUACCUGCCUUCCCAUAGUAACACUGCUGUCCACUAAAGCAGCAGUUGAUAGCUUCACAUUCAGCACUACUGAUACCAGGCUGUCCACAUUGGAUCUGCUCAUAAUCAGCUACAGCACAUUUGUCCAAAGGCUCAGCCUUCGCUACUGGCUUCUGAAUCUGAAGCUUCUGAGGAAACUGCUGAUUAGUCUGUUGAACUGGCUUCUGAAACUGCGGCUUCUGAGGAAACUGCUGAUUAGUCUGUUGAACUGGCUUCUGAAACCACUGGUCAGUUUGCUGGAGCAUCAGAGCUUGAGGGUUCUGGGGCAUUUUCCUCAAUUUACUCAACUUUGGAAGAGCAUGACAGCAAGCACACAGUGCCAAUACCUGAAACAAACACCAACUUCCAGCCAUUGUCCAACAGCUAAUCACACAAUUGAGAUGCUGCCCUUUGGUCUUUUUGUACUCUACAGAUUUCAGCUAAUUAGCUAUAGUCCCUCCCUCUUCCUUAACAAUCAUGAUUCUCCAAACGAGUGUGAGCUCAUGCAACUGGGCGAUACUCAUUUGUUCUUAAGGCAUUGUCCACACGAAGCCAGAGCUUUCCCUAUCUGAUCUUUUUUUUUCUCAUCUCAAGAAAUAUC
ensembl:lncRNA